GAGCGGCGAACGGGUGAGUAACGGGUGGAUAACCUACCUCUCCGGUGGGGAAUAACGGCGGGAAACUGCCGCUAAUACCGCAUACGGUUGCUCGUCUUUGGACGGGUAAAGAAAGGGGCUUUACAGCCUCGCCGGGAGAUGGGUCCGCCUCCGAUUAGCUAGUUGGUGGGGUAAUGGCCUACCAAGGCAUCGAUCGGUAGCCGAACUAAGAGGUUGAUCGGCCACACUGGAACUGAGACACGGUCCAGACACCUACGGGUGGCAGCAGUAGGGAAUCUUGCGCAAUGGGCGAAAGCUUGACGCAGCCACGCCGCGUGGAUGAUGAAGGCCUUCGGGUCGUAAAGUCCUUUUUUGAAGGAAGAACGAUAUCACGAGGAAAUGCGUGGUGUGUGACGGUACUUCAGGAAUAAGCCACGGCUAACUCUGUGCCAGCAGCCGCGGUAAUACAGAGGUGGCAAGCGUUGUUCGGAAUUACUGGGCGUAAAGGGAGCGCAGGCGGCCGAGUAAGUCUGGAGUGCAAGCCCGGGGCUCAACCCCGGAAUUGCUUUGGAUACUACUUGGCUUGAGUACGUCAGAGGUGAGCGGAAUUCCAGGUGUAGCGGUGAAAUGCGUAGAUAUCUGGAGGAACAUCGGUGGCGAAAGCGGCUCACUGGGACGAAAC
rnacentral:rRNA from 1 species